rnacentral:rRNA from 1 species
UGGGGAAUAUUGGGCAAUGGGCGAGAGCCUGACCCAGCGACGCCGCGUGGGUGAUGAAGGCCUUCGGGUUGUAAAGCCCUGUCAUGCGGAAAGAACGACCCUGAGACGCAUACUCUCAGGGAGUGACGGUACCGCAGGAGGAAGCACCGGCUAACUCCGUGCCAGCAGCCGCGGUAAUACGGAGGGUGCAAGCGUUGUUCGGAAUUAUUGGGCGUAAAGGGCGCGUAGGCGGUAAUGUAAGUCAGAUGUGAAAUACUCCGGCUCAACCAGAGAACAGCAUCUGAAACUGCAUAACUAGAGUACAGAAGAGGGAAACGGAAUUCCCGGUGUAGAGGUGAAAUUCGUAGAUAUCGGGAGGAACACCAGUGGCGAAGGCGGUUUCCUGGUCUGAUACUGACGCUGAGGCGCGAAAGCGUGGGGAGC